UACUCGAGUGGCGAACGGGUGAGUAACACGUGAGUAACCUGCCCUUGACUUUGGGAUAACUUCAGGAAACUGGGGCUAAUACCGGAUAGGAGCUCCUGCUGCAUGGUGGGGGUUGGAAAGUUUCGGCGGUUGGGGAUGGACUCGCGGCUUAUCAGCUUGUUGGUGGGGUAGUGGCUUACCAAGGCUUUGACGGGUAGCCGGCCUGAGAGGGUGACCGGCCACAUUGGGACUGAGAUACGGCCCAG
rnacentral:rRNA from 1 species